rnacentral:ncRNA from 2 species
UUUGACUGUAGGGGCAGGGUGAAAUUCCCGACCGGCGGUAACAGUAUGAACUGAAGCCCGCGAACUACUUCAUUGUAGUUGAUUUGGUGAGAAUCCAAAGCCGACAGUAAAGUCUGGAUGAAAUAUCAGUCAAA